NUGCAACUGACGAGUCCAAAAAAGGACGAAAUGCACAUCCUGGAU
rnacentral:hammerhead_ribozyme from 1 species